CGGCAGCACGGGUGCUUGCACCUGGUGGCGAGUGGCGAACGGGUGAGUAAUACAUCGGAACGUACCUUAUCGUGGGGGAUAACGCAGCGAAAGUUGCGCUAAUACCGCAUACGCCCUGAGGGGGGAAGCGGGGGACCGUAAGGCCUCGCGCGAUUAGAGCGGCCGAUGUCUGAUUAGCUUGUUGGUGAGGUAAAAGCUCACCAAGGCGAUGAUCAGUAGCUGGUCUGAGAGGACGAUCAGCCACACUGGGACUGAGACACGGCCCAGACUCCUACGGGAGGCAGCAGUGGGGAAUUUUGGACAAUGGGGGCAACCCUGAUCCAGCAAUGCCGCGUGAGUGAAGAAGGCCUUCGGGUUGUAAAGCUCUUUUGUCAGGGAAGAAACAGCAGCUCGAACACAGACUGCGAAUGACGGUACCUGAAGAAUAAGCACCGGCUAACUACGUGCCAGCAGCCGCGGUAAUACGUAGGGUGCGAGCGUUAAUCGGAAUUACUGGGCGUAAAGCGUGCGCAGGCGGUUAUACAAGACAGGCGUGAAAUCCCCGGGCUUAACCUGGGAAUGGCGUCUGUGACUGUAUAGCUAGAGUGUGUCAGAGGGGAGUGGAAUUCCACGUGUAGCAGUGAAAUGCGUAGAUAUGUGGAGGAACACCAAUGGCGAAGGCAGCCCCCUGGGAUAACACUGACGCUCAUGCACGAAAGCGU
rnacentral:rRNA from 1 species